rnacentral:tRNA from 1 species
AAAAUCCGUCGACCAAGUCCCUCUAUCCCCA